rnacentral:rRNA from 1 species
UACGUAGGGUGCAAGCGUUGUCCGGAAUUAUUGGGCGUAAAGAGCUCGUAGGCGGUUUGUCGCGUCUGCCGUGAAAGUCCGGGGCUCAACUCCGGAUCUGCGGUGGGUACGGGCAGACUAGAGUGAUGUAGGGGAGACUGGAAUUCCCGGUGUAGCGGUGAAAUGCGCAGAUAUCGGGAGGAACACCAAUGGCGAAGGCAGCUCGCUGGGACGGUACUGACGCUGAGGCGCGAAAGCGUGGGGAGCAAACAGG